GCAUGGAAUGAACAAAGGCUGCU
rnacentral:piRNA from 1 species